rnacentral:Y_RNA from 1 species
GGCUGGUCCAAUGGUAGUGGGUUAUCAGAACUUAUUAACAUUAGUGUCACUAAAGUUGAUAUUCAAACCCCCCACCACUGCUAAAUUUGACUGGCUUUAA